CAGUAGCGUAUAUUAUAGUUGUUGCAGUUAAAAUGCUCGUAGUUGAAGUUCGGAUGCAGCAGAGCUUGGAAACGCUGUUAUGGUGCUUCCGUUGCUUUUGCUUGUCCACAGUGCGUUGCAAGUACGUAUGUGCUUGUGCGUGCAUUUUACUUUGAGAAACAUAGGGUGUUCCACGCAUGUUACGGCAUGAAUAUUCCAGCAUGGGAUAAUCUGGUACGACUUCCAAUCUGCCAUUUUGGUUCGUAGGUUGGAAGUAGUGAUUAAUAGGGACUGUCGGGGGCAUUGGUAUUUGACUGUCAGAGGUGAAAUUCUGAGAUUCGUUGAGGACCAACCACUGCGAAAGCAUUUGUCAAGGAUGUCUCCAUUAA
rnacentral:rRNA from 1 species